UUCUUUUGUUUGUGUAACAGGUUCGGUUUUUAUUUUAAAAAGACAGGGGAUUUGAAAGGUCAUACAUUUACAUGACAAAGAAUGACACACAGCAACAGCACAUAUAGAGAUACUAUAAUAGGCAAACCCAGCACGUUCCUCACUUUGGUAAAGAUGCUCUCUGUGAUAGUUACAAUCUAAUAACAGAAGAUUAGAUAUUACAGACAGACAGAAAGACUAACUGUUCCCCAGGAGUUACCCAGAAGGAACAGUGUGACAUGCUAAGAAAUAUUACUAUUCCCCAUGACAUUUUCUCCUUUUCUAAAAGCAACUCGAUGCUUUAAUGACUUUAGUCCCAUAGCAAAGAUCAUUGUGAACCAUAAUGACAGAUAAUAGGGCUCACCUGGAUGUUGCACCUUUAACUAAAGGUGCAACAUCAAAAAUUUUAAAUUAUGAAUGGACUUCAUCUUUAAGCACUUUUCCUCUUUGAUCUUCAAAGCCCUGCAUGCACCUCAUUUAUGAUUUUCGUGAUAGAGUUGCUAAACUUUGAAAGGCCUUCUAACCAGGAGGGGACUCCGAGGUUCAGUGCAAAGGCGCUUUCACAUGUAAACCUAAUAUUUUCGAUUACUUGUGCUGCAGAGUUGAACAAAUUUGAACUUAAAAAUGAGGCAGGCAGCCAGCAGCAGGCAGGUGAGGUGAAAAAAGGCUUUCUUGGAAACAGAUUUACUUCUUGUAUGCAGGUUGGAUCACAUAGCUAGUUGGGCAGUUUUCUGUUCUCUCAAUUGCUCUACAGAUCUUUACAUUUGUAUCUGUUUGAAGUUGUGUAUAUUUAUCUGCUAAAAUGUUUCCUAUAAUGAACUUUCACCUCUGUACCAUAGUCGGGUCUUUAUCUUACAAAAUAAAAAGGGUAAUUUGUUGUGAUUUGGCGAUAUAUGAUAAAGCUGAACUGAACCUCUCCCACAGUCUUAUGGUGUUUUACAUGAGGUGGCACAUUGAUGUGCAAGAGGUAACUGAUAGUUGUGUGAAGUCAUAUGUAUGAUCCCUGCAAUCCAUGAUUUCCAUUCCAAUCCAUUGCAGGUUUUUGUUUAAAUCUACAUUGCGAUGUUCUUUGCAGAUACUUAAUGCCCAAAGUGACAAUGAAAACAGCUCGUGUUAACACUGGAAAAUCUAUCACAAGUAGAGGAAUAAGCAGGUAUAACAAACACAAAUAGAAAUGAAGUAGUCCUGAAUAAACAUAACGGGGUAUUAAAUAACCCCACUCAGACAUUUUAGUUGCUAAAAUAGCUCGGGCCCAGCCUUGCACAAUGUCUUUUGUGAAAGCCCACAAGCCACUGGCUGACCCACUAUCCCAAAAUAUGGCUUCUAAUGACUGUAAAGCUGUCCUGUUUAUAUGCUGUGUGAGUGAUAAUGAAUAACAAAGCGUAGGAAUACAAAAUUUAGGGAGUGUGUAAAAAUAGAAUGCAAUGUAUGCUAACAAGGCCCAGCUAGGAAGUUUUGUUGUUUAUG
ensembl:lncRNA